rnacentral:rRNA from 1 species
UACAGAGGUCCCGAGCGUUGUUCGGAUUCACUGGGCGUAAAGGGUGCGUAGGUGGUGAGGUAAGUCGGAUGUGAAAUCUCCGAGCUCAACUCGGAAAAUGCAUUGGAAACUACCUUGCUAGAGGGUUGGAGGGGUGACUGGAAUACUUGGUGUAGCAGUGAAAUGCGUAGAUAUCAAGUGGAACACCAGUGGCGAAGGCGAGUCCCUGGACAACACCUGACACUGAGGCACGAAAGCUAGGGGAGCAAACAGG